rnacentral:lncRNA from 1 species
CUCUUUCUUGCAAUGGGCUCUGUAAAGCUCACUAGCUGCUAAGUAAGGGGCAUGAGGCUAUUCCUGAAGGUGGGUGACUUUAACAUAGUUCUAUUAGGCUAAACUCUGACAUAACAAAGACCAUUAGAAUAGGCAGGGUUGAAGCAAACAGUGACACCUUUAUUUCAGUCUGGGUAUGGCUGGGUAAAGGAUGCAAAGGCUAUUGGCCCAAACAAAGGAAGAGGAUAUGCUGUACAGGGGAGUUUAGGCAGGGGAGGGGGUCCUGUCGAGGAAGAUAGAAACUUUUAGGAACAGAACAAAGUGCAAGACAACAAACAGCGUGAACCCAGCCAUGGUCAGCAAGCUUGUCAUUAGACCAUGGAGAAAUGCCCAGGACUCUUGUUAGAACACUUACAGUGGCAAAGUUCCCUUAACCCAACUUGUGUCAUAAUGAAGCUCUGAAAAUUGAAAGAAAGCAAAAAUGUCUUUAUGACUGUGGUGGAGUCCCAGCUCAGCUCGGCUGAGGGCUCUCAGCUAAAUCACAUCACUGUGGAGGACAAAGCAGAUGAGCAUGGCAGGAGUGCAUGUGGGAAGCAGGACUACAUCUCAAGUAUGGUGACAGAGAGAGCCGGAGGCAGCCAGGACAGGAGCAGGCAUUAAUAACAACUCACUCUCCUGAGGACUUAUGCCAGGGGACUGGUAUUCUCUUCCUAGUUUGUACAAUGUUGGCAUUUUUCAUCAAAGUCCUUGAAAAUAUUUGGACCUUGAAGGAGAUCUGGACCUGUCGUCUUGGCCUGUUGAUUGCUUUGAGCUGAAGGCACCUGAGACACAGCAGGCACAAGAAGGGCUUUCUGACAUUCUCUUUUCCGUCUAAAAGCAGGCCAUACAGUUUCCCCUAAGAGAAGUGCCCUGCCUGGACCAGGAAGAGAAGAACACUCAUCUUCACAAGCUAAGGAAUCAAGGCUAAAACAGACCUGCACAAACAAACUUACUAAAAUAACUCUUCUAGUCUGUGAGUUUCUUUCAACGUGGUUCUUUAUCAUGUGCCCCUAGUUCACUACCCUUAGCUGAAUGCACCUAACCUCUUCUCCUUCAGAAAUGCAUCAUUUCUUUAUUUAAAAGAUAUCUGAACAGUCUCACCUGGUUACUCCUUUGGGAGUAACAUGUCAUUGGUGAGGACUUCCCUGUACAUGGGAAAGUCUGGCAAAGC